rnacentral:rRNA from 1 species
UACGGGGGGGGCAAGCGUGGUUCGGAAUUACUGGGCGUAAAGGGCUCGUAGGCGGCCAACUAAGUCAGACGUGAAAUCCCUCGGCUUAACCGGGGAACUGCGUCUGAUACUGGUUGGCUUGAGUGCAGGAGAGGAAUGCGGAAUUCCAGGUGUAGCGGUGAGAUGCGUAGAUAUCUGGAGGAACACCGGUGGCGAAGGCGGCAUUCUGGACUGUAACUGACACUGAGGAACGAAAGCCAGGGGAGCAAACGGG